rnacentral:rRNA from 1 species
UACGUAGGGAGCAAGCGUUGUCCGGAAUCAUUGGGCGUAAAGCGCGCGUAGGCGGCCCCGUAAGUCCGCUGUGAAAGUCAAAGGCUCAACCUUUGAAAGCCGGUGGAUACUGUGGGGCUAGAGUCCGGAAGAGGCGAGUGGAAUUCCUGGUGUAGCGGUGGAAUGCGCAGAUAUCAGGAGGAACACCAAUAGCGAAGGCAGCUCGCUGGGACGAUACUGACGCUAAGGCGCGAAAGCGUGGGGAGCGAACAGG